rnacentral:rRNA from 1 species
CAGUAGCCGCGGGAAUACAGAGGGUGCGAGCGUUAAUCGGAUUUACUGGGCGUAAAGCGUGCGUAGGCGGCUUCUUAAGUCGGAUGUGAAAUCCCUGAGCUUAACUUAGGAAUUGCAUUCGAUACUGGGAAGCUAGAGUAUGGGAGAUGAUGGUAGAAUUCCAGGUGUAGCGGUGAAAUGCGUAGAGAUCUGGAGGAAUACCGAUGGCGAAGGCAGCCAUCUGGCCUAAUACUGACGCUGAGGUACGAAAGCAUGGGGAGCAAACAGGAUUAGAUACCCCGAUAGUCCCUGUCUCUUAUAC